rnacentral:rRNA from 1 species
AUUGAACGCUGGCGGCAUGCCUUACACAUGCAAGUCGAACGGUAGAGGGGGGCAACCCCUUCGAGAGUGGCGAACGGGUGAGUAAUGCAUCGGAACGUGCCCAGUCGUGGGGGAUAGCCCGGGGAAACCCGGAUUAAUACCGCAUACGACCUGAGGGUGAAAGCGGGGGACUCGCAAGGGCCUCGCGCGAUUGGAGCGGCCGAUGUCGGAUUAGGUAGUUGGUGGGGUAAAGGCCUACCAAGCCUGCGAUCCGUAGCUGGUCUAAGAGGACGACCAGCCACACUGGGACUGAGACACGGCCCAGACUCCUACGGGAGGCAGCAGUGGGGAAUUUUGGACAAUGGGGGCAACCCUGAUCCAGCCAUGCCGCGUGCGGGAAGAAGGCCUUCGGAUUGUAAACCGCUUUUGUCAGGGAAGAAAUGUCCUGGGCUAAUACCCUGGGGGGAUGACGGUACCUGAAGAAUAAGCACCGGCUAACUACGUGCCAGCCGCCGCGGUAA